UUAAGUUCAGCGGGUAUCCCUACCUGAUCCGAGGUCAAACUACUAUUUGGCUGCUUCCCUGGUGGGCGCCGCCACAGGCUCCAAAGCGAGGGAGUUUUCUUGCUACGCUUGGAGCUGGACGGUACCGCCAACGAGUUACGGACGGUCCUCGCCGGACCAGCGCCCAAGACCAAGCGGUGCUUGAGGGUUUGCAAUGACGC
rnacentral:misc_RNA from 1 species